rnacentral:rRNA from 1 species
UACAUGUGGGGCAAGCGUUGUUCGGAAUUACUGGGCAUAAAGGGUGCGUAGGUGGCUUGUUAAGUCAGGGGUGAAAGUUUUCGGCCCAACCGGAAAAUGGCCUUUGGAUACUGGCGAGCUCGAGUGCGUGAGGGGUAACCGGAACGAGCAGUGUAGCGGUGAAAUGCGUAGAUAUUGCUCGGAAGGCCAACGGCGAAGGCAGGUUACUGGUGCGCAACUGACACUGAGGCACGAAGGCGUGGGGAGCAAACAGG